UACGGAGGGAGCUAGGGGUGUUCGGAAUUACUGGGCGUAAAGCGCGCGUAGGCGGCUUUUUAAGUCAGGGGUGAAAUCCCGGGGCUCAACCUCGGAACUGCCCUUGAAACUGGGAAGCUAGAAUCUUGGAGAGGCGAGUGGAAUUCCGAGUGUAGAGGUGAAAUUCGUAGAUAUUCGGAAGAACACCAGUGGCGAAGGCGACUCGCUGGACAAGUAUUGACGCUGAGGUGCGAAAGCGUGGGGAGCAAACAGG
rnacentral:rRNA from 1 species